rnacentral:rRNA from 1 species
GACGAACGCUGGCGGCGCGCUUAACACAUGCAAGUCGAGCGAGAACCAGGGCUUCGGCCCUGGGGAAAGCGGCGAACGGGUGAGUAACACGUGAGUCAUCCACCCUCGGCACCGGGAUAGCCCGGGGAAACCCGGAUUAAUACCGGAUGGCCCGUCUGCCCUUCGGGGCGGCCGGAAAAGGUAGCUUCGGCCUCCGGCCGAGGACGAGCUCGCGGCGGAUUAGCUUGUUGGCGGGGUAACGGCCCACCAAGGCGACGGUCCGUAGCUGGUCUGAGAGGACGGUCAGCCACACUGGGACUGAGACACGGCCCAGACUCCUACGGGAGGCAGCAGUGGGGAAUCUUGCGCAAUGGGCGAAAGCCUGACGCAGCGACGCCGCGUGCGGGAAGAAGGCCUUCGGGUUGUAAACCGCUUUCAGGAGGGACGAAGCCACUCGGGUGAAUAGCCCAGAGGGUGACGGUACCUCCAGAAGAAGCCCCGGCUAACUACGUGCCAGCCGCCGCAGUAACAC